UACGAAGGGAGCUAGCGUUGUUCGGAAUCACUGGGCGUAAAGCGCACGUAGGCGGAUUUGUCAGUCAGGGGUGAAAUCCCGGGGCUCAACCUCGGAACUGCCUUUGAUACAGCAAAUCUUGAGUUCGAGAGAGGUGGGUGGAAUUCCUAGUGUAGAGGUGAAAUUCGUAGAUAUUAGGAAGAACACCGGUGGCGAAGGCGGCUCACUGGCUCGAUACUGACGCUGAGGUGCGAAAGCGUGGGGAGCAAACAGG
rnacentral:rRNA from 1 species